UUUUAGGUUUUUUCGGAUAAAAACCUAAAAUUAAUAUUAUAUGUUUAUUUUUAUAUUAUGAAGUUUAGAUAGUCGUUAUGUCGAACCAAUAGUUUCAUAUUAUAGUUUUUAAACAGAUAAUAGUUUAAGAAAAAGAAAAGAAAAUUAUUAAGACAAAUCAUUUCACUACAAUUUGGUCAAUAGUGAAAGAAACAUUAAGAAAAAAUAUUUCAACUUUCAAAAAAAUUAGAUACUUCAGCUGUGGUGAAUACUUAGUUAUAAGAUGCUCACAUCAAGGUGCACAUGUAUAUUUAGGCAUGGGCAUUCGGGGUCCCCAUCGGGUUUCGGUUUUAGCCAUUCGGGUUUCGGUUUUUCGGGUUUAUCAAAAUCAACCCCAUUCGGGUUAUAUAAAAGUUCGGUUCGGGACCGGUUCGGGUUCUAUCGGGUUCGGGUCGGGGUUAGUAAAUCUUCAAAGAACCGGUAUAACCCAUUGUACUUUCGGGUUCGGGUCCCAAUCGGUUCUUCGGUUUAAAAAUACAUGAUUUGUACCUAUUUUGUAACUAAAACAUAAAUGAAAUCGGUUCUUCGGAUUUUAAAAACAUGAUUUGUACAUAUUUUAAUAGCCAAAACAUAAAUAAAAUCGAUACAAAAAUAAGAAAAAACAUCAAACAUGAUCAUUCAAAAUCAAGCGAAAGAUAAACAUAAUUAGUGAUAGAAAAAAACCAGAUAAAUGAAAUCAUAAAACAAAAAAUAAGUUCUCAUGAAAUGAGAAACAUUAUUCAAUAAAAACAAAACCAAAAUCUAAAAACUUCAGGCAUCAACCGCCACAUUCCACCACCAACCUUCAUGUAACAUAUAAUUAUUUUAGAAGUUCAAUAAUAUCUUAAAGUAUUUUGGAUACAUAUUAAGAAUUAAGAUCAUAUUUGGUAGAAGUUCUUUUUGUGAUUUUAAAUGUUUCGGGUUCUAUCGGAUAUCCAUUUAGGUCCGGGUCCAGUUCGGAUAAUACCCAUAACCCAAAAUACCAAAAAACAGGAUCCAUUCGGUAUUUAUUUCGAGUUCGGAUCGGUUCGGAUUCAUUUUUAUCGGAUCGGGUUCGGUUCGGAUUUUCGGGUUCGGUUUAUUUGCCCAGCCCUAUGUAUAUUUAUGUAAAAAGUAUAUAAAAAUAGUUGAAAAAUAUAUAAAGAUAUUGUUAAUUAAUAUUAAAUGACAUUUUUGUUUAGAAUAAUACAUGAAAGAUAAAAUUAAAAUUUAUUUAAAAUAAAAAAGACCUUGACAUUGGUCAUUUUUUCAUCAAAAGAAAAUAAAAUUACAUUCGUAAAUAGGGGUGGACACAUAUCAAGUAUCUGGAUAUUUGGAAGCAUUUUUGUCGAUUCGAUUUUUAGCCACCUAGAUAUUCGGUGACUCGGAUAUCCGAAAUGUUUUAGAAUUUCAAAGAAUAUUCCAUUUGAUUCGUAAAUAAAAUAAAAUUUUAAAAAUAAUUUAAUAAUAACAUUUUAUUACAAAAAUAAAACAUUAUAUAACCUUUUAAUUCUAGUACCUAAUAUAAUAAAUUUAUAUUGUAAAACUGAUAUAAAGUAUAAUAUAUAUAACAUAUAUAUAUACUACAUAUAUAAAUAAAAUUACAUUCGUAAAUAGAGGUGGACACAUAUCAAGUAUCUGGAUAUUUGGAAGCAUUUUUGUCGAUUCGAUUUUUAGCCACCUAGAUAUUCGGUGACUCGGAUAUCCGAAAUGUUUUAGAAUUUUAAAGAAUAUUUGAUUUGAUUCGUAAAUAAAAUAAAAUUUUAAAAAUAAUUUAAUAAUAACAUUUUAUUACAAAAAUAAAACAUCAUAUAACCUUUUAAUUCUAGUACCUAAUAUAAUAAAUUUAUAUUGUAAAACUGAUAUAAAGUAUAAUUUAUAUAACAUAUAUAUAUAUAUAAUUCUUUUCAUAUAUGUAUAUAUAUGCAUAUAACAUAUCGAAUUAGAUAUAUGUUCCUAAAAAUAUUGGUAUUAG
rnacentral:lncRNA from 1 species